rnacentral:rRNA from 1 species
UUAACACAUGCAAGUCGAGCGGUAGCACAGGGGAGCUUGCUCCCUGGGUGACGAGCGGCGGACGGGUGAGUAAUGUCUGGGAAACUGCCUGAUGGAGGGGGAUAACUACUGGAAACGGUAGCUAAUACCGCAUAACGUCGCAAGACCAAAGAGGGGGACCUUCGGGCCUCUUGCCAUCAGAUGUGCCCAGAUGGGAUUAGCUAGUAGGUGGGGUAAUGGCUCACCUAGGCGACGAUCCCUAGCUGGUCUGAGAGGAUGACCAGCCACGCUGGAACUGAGACGCGGUCCAGACUCCUACGGGAGGCAGCAGUGGGGAAUAUUGCACAAUGGGCGCAAGCCUGAUGCAGCCAUGCCGCGUGUGUGAAGAAGGCCUUCGGGUUGUAAAGCACUUUCAGCGAGGAGGAAGGUGGUGAACUUAAUACGUUCAUCAAUUGACGUUACUCGCAGAAGAAGCACCGGCUAACUCCGUGCCAGCAGCCGCGGUAAUACGGAGGGUGCAAGCGUUAAUCGGAAUUACUGGGCGUAAAGCGCACGCAGGCGGUUUGUUAAGUCAGAUGUGAAAUCCCCGGGCUCAACCUGGGAACUGCAUUUGAAACUGGCAAGCUAGAGUCUCGUAGAGGGGGGUAGAAUUCCAGGUGUAGCGGUGAAAUGCGUAGAGAUCUGGAGGAAUACCGGUGGCGAAGGCGGCCCCCUGGACGAAGACUGACGCUCAGGUGCGAAAGCGUGGGGAGCAAAC